UACGGAGGGAGCUAGCGUUGUUCGGAAUUACUGGGCGUAAAGCGUGCGCAGGCGGUUUUGUAAGUCUGUCGUGAAAGCCCCGGGCUCAACCUGGGAAUUGCGAUGGAGACUGCAAGGCUUGAAUCUGGCAGAGGGGGGGUAGAAUUCCACGUGUAGCAGUGAAAUGCGUAGAGAUGUGGAGGAACACCGAUGGCGAAGGCAGCCCCCCUGGGUCAAGACUGACGCUCAUGCACGAAAGCGUGGGGAGCAAACAGG
rnacentral:rRNA from 1 species